rnacentral:lncRNA from 1 species
GUAAAAACGUAUAAAAUUAUUUGAAUUAUGGUCUAUUUCGAACCGUUCAAAAAUUUAAUUUUACUCUAAAUUUUCAAUUUGGCUGAUUUGAGUUAGUCAACAACACUCCGACUUCAAAUUUUUGACUAAUUAUUUUACUAAAUUUAUAAUUACAAAAAUUACAUAAAAUAUGAUAACUAAUCUGUAAAAAUAAACGAUGUAUUCAAAUUUUAAAAUCAAAAUAUAGUUGACUAGCUGAAAUCAAAUAAAUAGACAAAGUAAAAUAAUUCAUAAUUUAAAUAAAUAUUAAAAAAUUUUAUUUUUUUACAUAAAAUUUAUCAAAAUUAUUUAAUAAUUUUAAUAAAUAAUAAUAAAAAAUAUUAUUAUUUUAUUUAUAAGAAAAAUUUCUGCGCACUAAAUUGUGUGUUGUUGC